rnacentral:rRNA from 1 species
CCUACGGGAGGCUGCAGUAAGGGAUAUUGCACAAUGGGCGCAAGCCUGAUGCAGCAACGCCGCGUGCAGGAAGAAGGGUUUCGGCUCGUAAACUGCUUUUCUGCGGGACGAGGAUGACGGUACCGCAGGAAGAAGUCUCGGCUAACUACGUGCCAGCAGCCGCGGUAAAACGUAGGAGGCAAGCGUUAUCCGGAUUUACUGGGCGUAAAGGGCGUGCAGGUGGUUCUAUAAGUGGUGCGUGAAAGCGCCCGGCUCAACCGGGCGAGGCCGUGCCAAACUGUGGAACUAGAAACAGGCAGAGGAAAGUGGAAUUCGGGGUGUAGUGGUGAAAUGCGUAGAGAUCCCGAGGAACUCCUGUGGCGAAGGCGACUUUCUGGGCCUGCUUUGACACUCAGACGCGAAAGCAUGGGGAGCGAACGGGAUUAGAUACCCCAGUAGUC